AUGUCAACACAUGAUCUGAAGUUGCAGCAGUCAAGUUGUCAAAGCGGAGUGAAAGCCAGCGUGACUUGCUAUUUCCCAGAUCAGGAGAUAUUGUACACACAAACUGACAAAUCACGUUUUCAGAAUGUAAGUGAACAUGAGAAGUUACAUCCUGGACCACUGGCUCAACACAUCCACAACAAGAAAGAUUUAGAAACUAGAACUAUUGCAUCUUCACCAUCAUCGCAGUUAACAGGCCAGCUGAAAAGCAGCAGAGAUUUACAGAUCAGGCAAGUAAUACUUCUCAGAUCUAAGGAAGACUCCAGUAGGACAUCUGAAGAACAGAGGAAAUCUGCCAGAUUCACUUCCACCAUCUCUAUCAGUCUUCCUAAUAGAAGAAACAAAAAAGACACGGCGGUGGAAAAAACACUGCAUGCUACAACUAACCUUUACAGCACACAUGAAGCCGUAAAAAACACAGCUAAUCAAAACCACACAGAGCUAAGAGACGUGCUUUCACCAACUGAGCAAUGUGGUGAAUCAACUGGUGAAUUCUUUAAGAAUAGGGAUGGGCCAAAAGCAAGCUUUGAUGAAGACAGUUUUACCACUCUGCAUCAACAUGGACAUAACACACCAAAACAGGGACAAAAUACAGGAAUACAACACAACAUAGGCCUUCAUGAACAAACGCAAAUUGUCUACAACGGCUCACAAAGACAUUCUACUCAACCUGUUUGUAAGGUUCAAACAGAAUUCAACAAGGAAUCUGGAGCCAGCGACUGUAGAAAGAAUGCUGCAACAACUCCACAGUACCACAGUAAUCUGACCUCCUUUGAAGUGGACAAUGGUCUAAAAGCAAGCACUGAUUCCCAGUUUUUUGCACACCAUUCAGAAGUAGUAAACCAGGUCUUGCCAUUAGACUCUUUUCCUGCUCCUCAUUCUGAAAGUACCCCUGAGCCAGAACCUGGUCUUAACAAUCCUACAUCAACUAUGUUGACAUCAGCCCUGGUCUCAGUUCUUGCUCCACCUUGGAGUGGCCGUCUUCGAAGACCCAAGCAAGGCGGCAGCGAAGUACAGCAUGAACCCCAAGAUUGUGCACAGAAUGUCAACCCAUCUACCUUAUUUCGCCAGGAUCAGCACCAACAACCAUUUCUUCCUUCCCAGAGGCAACCAUCUGAACACAUGUUGGCCAAUGACAAUGACAUGCAGUUGACUGCAGGAACCAGCUGUAACUCUCCUGACUGGCAAAAAGAGAACAAUUCCCCAAACAUCACAACCACAAUACAGCCAAAGAGACCCAUUAUUAAAUCCUCCUCUGUGGGCAUGAUGUACAAUAAUACAGAUUUGCAUCCUUUUCCCACACCUCUGGACACUCAUCAGGUACCAAAUUUGGCCCAUUCAGGGUACAGAAUAUCAAAAACUGGAGAUGAACAUCAGCCUUUCAAAUCAUUGAGCUCUAAGCCAACAACAAGCACCCUACUUCUUUCCUUGAGGAGGUCAAAUUUGAGAAGCUCCAGUGCUGAGCCCACACAAUCACAGACUCCGAUGACUAGGUCUGUCAGGUCCCUUACAUUGCCUAGCAGAGUUGUUUUGAAAACUCCGUCAUUUGCCCAUUCUGUUACCGCUGAUGACCAAACCCCCAAAUACCCAGACACUCCUGGAAGAACAGAGGAAAUACCAGUCAGUCAGUUCCCUUUCUCACAUGGAAUUAAGAGUAGAGUGCCAUUAAGGAAAUCACUGUUUCUAAACAAACCAGAGACGGCAAUUUCAAAGAGACUAGAAGCUUCUGUUGCCAGAGUAGAGGAGGAACGUUUCCCAAUGUCCACAACCAAAACCGGCCAACUUGGGGUUCUCAGAGCUCAACAGAGCUCUUAUUCAGUGUUUUCGAGGAAAUAUUCCAGUACAGAGGACAUAGAUCUAGUGGAACUAAAUGCUGCCAACAACAACAACCUGCAAAACUCCAGUAUGACCAGACAAAAAGUAACUCCAGAUACCACAUUUUCUCCCAAAGUUUUAACAAAUUUUAAUGUUCAACAAUCUGGCUUUAAUGUUCAAAAAUUUAAAUCACAAAGUACACACAAUAUAAUAGCCAGUAGUUCAUCAGGCACAAGCACCUUCACAGACAGGCUUAACUACUCACCAAGGAAAGACUCUUCUGUAGAUGGAACAAGUCCCACAAAUGUGGGGCAGAUAUAUCUGGACUCUAAGAAAUAUUCUCAGUCAAGUCAAAGCACAAUGGAUCUUUCGAGCCUUCUUUCUCCAAGCAGACCUCUCAGAAGUGUAAGAGUACCAAGCAUUUAUUCAUACCUACGGGAGUCCAGCUCAGCUAUGUCCACCCCUUUCCCUUCUACCCCUUCUUCCCACAUACAGAAAGGUGAAACAUUGCCUCCUGAGCAAAAUGGAGGUGGAACACUACAGGGUGACCGGAAAACACUUCCUUCAAGAUUUUCAUUUGACUUUGUACCACAGGUAGAAGCAUUACAAAGAAGCUCUUAUGGCUCCAGCUCUCAUAUAGCACCAGCUCAAUCUCUGCCUCCUGAUUUUGGACGAAGAUCAGCACCUCGUCUCAGCACUUCUCCAUAUUCUAGCCUCAUCUCCUCACGACCUACACUCAACAACACUUUACAAGAACUAUCCUCUCCACCUGUGUCCAAAACUCAUACCCGAACUACAUCUUAUGAUAUUGUAACCACUCCUGCAGACUUCAUUAAAGUUGAUCCAAUCUCUUCACUGUCCACAUACACAAGUAUAAUAAGAAGACCAAAGGAACAGUUAGCUUCUCCUAACAGAAAACAGAGGACAGCAGUUCAAGAUCAUACAAGCGCCCUAGAUAAUCACAAACCUGCCCAGCCAUGCCUCUUACAAGCUGCACCAGAUGCAAGUUUUUUCAUGGAAAGCCAAAGCUCAAAUAUAAGCCCACACCCAAGGCAGCCCAGCACAGGCUCUAACAACUUCUGUCAUCAGGAGCAUGAUGGCUUGAUGGAACUUCAGCUUGAUAAGGGUAAUGCUUACCCCAAGCACAGGCUGAGUGAGAACGAGAAGUAUUUAAUACCUGAUAAGCGCACAGUAGAAAAUAAGACUCCACUGAUAGCUGAGAGAGAGAUUCCCACUGUGCAUAGGCAUGAGAGACUGCAGGAAAUGCAAAGUUCCAAUUCAAAAAAAGGCCUCUUUAGUUCACGAGUUAAGAAAGACAAAGAAGCUGUCUGCUCUUCAGCUUCUAUGCCAGACAAAGAGGUUGUUAAUCCCCAGUAUUUAAAAACCAAAAGACAUUCAACAGUGUUUAAAACCAUCAGCAGGGUUGACCAGAUGUUAAAUCGCUUGAAACUGACAUUUGGUGUCAAACAUUCAGACAGCUCACUUGACGCACUAUCGAAAAAGAACAAGAGUCCCACUCGGCAACUCUCAGAUACUGAGACUUUUGAAAGUCCCAAGACAGAGGACAAAACAUGUUCUGAGAGCCACCCGGAACCUUCUAACUACUCUUUAACAACUGAUAAAACCACUUUAAAUUCCUUGUCACUACUAACAUUAAAAGAAUCUCAGAAUACAUUAAAUGUGGAUGAACAAAAUAAGUCUAUGGCUGAAAUAAAUUAUUCUGGGAGUACACGGGAGGCCCCCAACUCAUUCUUGACCACUGAUAAAGCCUCUUUUGCAUCUUUGUCACCACUUACAUUAAAGAAAUCUGAGAAUACCUUAAAUAAGGAUUGGCAAAAUAGAUCUACAACUGAACAAAAGGGUUAUGGGUGCACAUGGGAGACCCCCAGCUCAUCUUUGACCACUGAUAAAGCCUCUUUUGCAUCUUUGUCACCACUUACAUUAAAGAAAUCUGGGAAUACUCAAAAUAUGAAUUGGCAAAACAGAUCUACAACUGAACAAAAGGGUUCUGGGUGCACAUGGGAGGCCCCCAACUCAUAUUUUACCACCGAUAAAGCAUCUUUUGACUCUUUUGGGUCUUUGUCGCCACUUACAUUAAAGAAAUCUGAGAAUUCUUUAAAUAUGGACUGGCAAAACAGAUCUACAACAGAUCAAAAGAGUUCUGGGUGCACAUGGGAGGAACCCAACUCAUCUUUGACCACUGAUAAAGCACCUUUGGCUUCUUUUGAGUCCUUGUCACCAUUAAUAUUAAAUAAAUCAUCUGAGAAUAUGUUAAAUGUUCAUCAGCAAAAGAGGCAUAGCGAUGAAAAUGGAAACCGCUCUUAUGGUAGGAGCUUUAGUCCACAUAGGCUAAAGGCCCAAAGUAUGAAUCGUUCUGCCACCUUGCCACAUUACAGAAAAUCCUCUGUCGGUCCCCCAUCACCCUUUUAUUUGUUUGAUUUUGAUUCAGAAGACAUUCAGAAUGACAAUGUGUUUUAUAGUCCAGUGUGCAAAAAAACAAAUUCACUGUGUGAGUCUGAUGACUUCUCUUCUCUGAACUCCACCAAGAGUCCCGUGCAGCAAAACCUUGUGAGGUCUCACUUGUCCUCGUCGUGUGCUGAUUUAAAGUAUGGUCUACACAAUGGACGAUCUUUCUCGGUAAGCAGUGUGGUUUCAAGCCGCCCAUCAGGUCCUGGACGAAUCUCAACAAGCAGCAUCAGCGACCUCUCAAGUUUGGAUGACUUUGUGCCGAAGGGGAAUUAUACAGUAGUUGACUCUCCAAUGAAUAGUAGCCAUUCUCCAGUCUGUGAUGCCAAAUCUAUCACUGGUAAACAGUCUGGACCUGGAUAUACAGAUGAUCUUGAUCUUGAUCAUUAUGAUGCAGACCCAACCCCACCUCCAUCACCAACUAUGUCCUCUUCACCUCGGCGGAUGUCCCAGGCACCUUCUGUGUCUUCCCCCAUGUGGACAACUCCAGAAAAUAUGUCUCCUUCUCGUGGAAUCCUGUCAUCAAGGAGCUACACAACCAGCUUGACUGUUUUUGAGGAGUCUGAUUCUGACACCACAACCGAAGAUGAAUACUAUCUUGACAAUUGUGAUGAUGCAGAAGAAACAGAACUUUAGAGGAGAGAAUUAUGUGUUGUUCAAUUCCAUCAUGUUUACAUAUACUGAACCUUUUAAAUUGGGGAGUGCGGGGGUUCUACGUUUAGGGUCUUCUACUACAAAGCUGCAGCAACAUUAGGCCUCUGUCAAGCCAAUCUAAAUUGUAAAAACAACUAGAAAUCCAGAUUGGAUAUGAAUAGAAAGAAAUAUAAUUAUAUCAGAAAUGUAAGACCAUGUUGAUUUCAUAUUUUUUGUUAUAAAUUAAAUAUAAUGGGCUUUUUGAAUACUUUAGUGUUUGAGGAUAGCAAUUUUUUAUUUCAUUAUGAAUUCAUAUACAAUACAGUACAUUAGGUUUUUUAUAUAUAUUUUCUGGAUCUUGAGUCUUUGAAAUGGUGAAUUCUCACAUCAUUCCUUUAUUGAGGCCUGCUUCCUGUAGGUUAUUGACUGUUUCAUUCACUGUGGCAUUUGAAAGCACAGCAUGUCAGUUACAAUACAUUAUUUUCCUGACAGACAUUCUAUAGUCAGUAGCUGUUAACUAAGAAACUGAACCCCAACUGUUUAACACAGGUGUUUGAAUUUUUUUCAUUUCAUACUGCUCCUUUAACAGUCAGAAAAGAAAAAAAAGAAUAGAACAAUUGAAGUGCCCCUGUAACACUGAUGAUUCCACAUUAAUUGCGGUUAAGUCUGUAAAGAAGAUGAUGUUACAGAAGUCUGCUAUCCAUUUGAUAUUACCGUUAAAAGUAUGAAAGUGUUAUUGAAAACUGGCUGAUCCUGGCAUAUGCAACAUCCGCAACUUGUUAAUUUGAGGUUCAAACAAGGCCUCUCACAAUCAUUGCAAAAGACAUACCACUAGAUGAACUAAGCAUUCUUAAAUAAGAUCUCACAGUUGAUUUUAUUUACUGUAUAAUUUAAUUGUGCUGUUUGUGUGCAUCAUGUUUGUGUGUGGCUUUCAGUGUAAUUUUAAUGGAUCUUUUAUUAUAAUUUAUUAUGCAGGGCAGGGGUUGGGGCAUCAUUUCUCCCCUAGAGCCUAGGGACCUCCAUAAGCUGUUAAGAUGCUCAAUUGCAGCACUGACAACAACACAGUAGGAAAUGCUGUAUAACAUAGUCCUACAUAUGUAAGGUCCUUUAUGUAAGGGAUUUCUUGAAUGUCUACAUUAAAUCGGUUAUAUUUAUUAACAUUUAAUAUAUUGAAUACACUGUAUUUUUCUUAAGGCAUAAGGCGAAUAAUAUUGAUCACUUAUUAAAAAAAUUAAUAAAGUAUCUGUAAAUGACA
ensembl:lncRNA